AAUUACGAGAAAAUGAAAUUAUCAACAUGAGUUCGACCUUUGGGUCGAACUCAUGUUGAUAAUUUCAUUUUCUCGUAAU